rnacentral:ribozyme from 1 species
UGCCCGCAAAGCCCGACCUCCACCUCCUCGUGGUGCCGGGCGGAACGAACUGGACCCUGAACCAGUGUUACGUACCAACGGAGGCGG